GACGAACGCUGGCGGCGUGCUUAACACAUGCAAGUCGAACGAAAAGGUCCUGCUUUUGUGGGGUGCACGAGUGGCGAAGGGGUGAGUAACACGCGAGUAACAUGCCCUUGAAUUAGGGAUAUCUUCACGAAAAUCGGGAUAUUACCGGAUAGGAGCUCCUGCUGCAUGGUGGGGGUUGGAAAGAGACGGCGGUUGUGGAUGGUCUCGAGGCUUAUCGGCUUGUUGGUGGGGUAGUGGCUGACAAAGGCUUUGACGGGUAGCCGGCCUGGGAGGGGAACCGGCCUCAAUGGGCCUGCGAGACGGCCCAGACGGCAAUGUGCCGCAGUGGGGGGGAGUAUGGCACAGUGGGCGCAAGCCAGAGGCGGCAAUGCCGCGUGCGGGAUGACGUGUUUCGAGUUGUAAACCGAUGUCGCAUUAGCCGUGGAGUGAUUGACGGUAACGAGUCAAGAAGCACCGGCUAACUACGUG
rnacentral:rRNA from 1 species